ACGCUUCCAGAUGGACAGUCCCAAAGAGAAUGGUUUGUUUCCUUUCGUCUUCCUCCACGAUGCAUUUUACGAUUGCAGAGGGUCCUGCUUGCCAUGUGUUUGCUUCUAAUCUACUCGUUUAUGGAACGCACACGCUGUGCCAGGCAUUGUGCACAGAGAGACCCAGUUCCUGCCCUCUUGGAGUUUAUAUGACAUGAGCUGAAGACAGACAAGAAGCAAGUGUAAGAGCUACCAGAGGGAGGAAAGUGGAAGCUACCAGACGGAGGAAGCAUAAACCAGGUCCUGAUCCCUGAUUAAUUGAGAAUCAGCCAGCUUGGGAAGGGGAUGGCUGCGCAAGCCCACAGAACGCAGACUCCCAGAGGAGGCAGGGGUAGGAAAGCUCUUGGCCGUGGCCUGAUUGUCUGGGAGACGGGAGUCAAGAUGGCUUGGUUUCAACAAACUGGCUUUGAUUACUUGGCGUUUGGCUCUGUGCUCUCUGGCCAGGUCAGCCUGACCCACGGUUGUCACCCCAGAGGACUGUGAAAUAACAAGUGCAGUUAACUGGCCACUGCUGAUCUGCGCCUAGAAGACAACGUCUCAGUUGUUAAGGCUUUUGUUGGCCUGCUCAGGAAGCGAUUCUUUUUGCCUGCAAAUUAUUGUAGGUUCCUGAGGGAACCGUGCCAGUCCUUGCCCUUUAGCUGCUCUGCUCUGUGCUGGGCUUGUGGGGUGAGAGAGGAGACAGAAUAGGGAGAAGGAGGAGAGGGGAGGCUGUACCUUGUAGGUGGAUAUUUUAAGGCUCUAAUGUUAGCUGUGGUUGGAAUUGACCAAGGGAGGCACUAGCAAGAGGUUGGAGGGCCGGAAGAGGAAAGAAACCAGAGUUUCUCUCCAACUCCUCUCUCUCUUUCUCUGCCUCAGAUGGUCAAAAUUUUAAGGAGACAGAAUCCAACAGGGCUGGGAUUAGGAUGAAGUGAGUGAGGCUGAGCUGUGCAAAUACGAGGUCAGAUCCUGACCUUGUUCAUCAUGGAAUUUUUGCAUUAAUGUUGAUAUUUUUUAAAUAUUGUGUUGAAAUAUUUAUCUUGAUUACUGAGCUUUUUGACAUUUCCUUAGACUUUAUCCCAAAGCAAGAGCCUUGCUUGUUUCACCCUGGUCCUGGCCUUGCCUUCCAGUGUGUCGGACACAUUUACGCACAGAGAAAAAUAGGCAAUCCAAAUGGUCCAACUCUAUUGGAUAUUCUCUAUGCUGCUUUCAUUCACUCAAUAAUGUGUAGCUGAGCACUUUUCUGUGUCAAUGAAUAUAGUUCCACAU
ensembl:lncRNA LINC00870 long intergenic non-protein coding RNA 870